rfam:Pan troglodytes isolate Yerkes chimp pedigree #C0471 (Clint) chromosome X, whole genome shotgun sequence.
GCCGGGCGCGGUGGCUCACGCCUGUAAUCCCAGCACUUUGGGAGGCUGAGGUGGGCGGAUCACCUGAGGUCAGGAGUUCAAGACCAGCCUGACCAACAUGGAGAAACCCCAUCUCUA